rnacentral:ncRNA from 1 species
AUCCAGGACAAUGAGAAUGUGAGCAUAAUGCCAGAGAAAAGGGGUAAAUGCUAAAAAAAGGAGGAGAGAGUGCUUGUUUUCUUUUUAUUAAUGAUAAAUGUGCUAUUAAUAGGUCUUUUCUGCGUUAAUUAAACAAAUUAGACUAUCAAAUCUAAAAUCUAAAAUCUAAAUCUAAAAAUCCAUUGGACUAAUACCAAAUUCAUAUAGUUUGUUCUUUUGCCCAUAACAGGAUUUUAACUGUGGUGCGCCUCGAAGCCUGGGGCAUGGGCCCGGGUGGAGCCGCCGCAGGUGCAGAUCUUGGUGGUAGUAGCAAAUAUUCAAACGAGAGCUUUGAAGGCCAAAGUGGAGCAAGGUUCCAUGUGAACAGCAGUUGAACAUGGGUCAGUCGGUCAUAAGCGAUAGGUGAGCGCCAUUUCGAAAUUUUUUUACACAGGAGGUUCCACUUAAAUUUGAGAAGAAACUUCUUCUCAGUGAGGGUGACAGAGCACUGGAACAGGCUGCCCAGAGAGGUUGUGGAGUCUCCUUCUCUGGAGACAUUCAAAACCCGCCUGGAUGCCUUCCUGUGUAACCUCAUCUAGGUGUUCCUGCUCCGGCA